CAACUGGAGAGUUUGAUCCUGGCUCAGAGCGAACGCUGGCGGCGUGCCUAACACAUGCAAGUCGAGCGCGAAAGCCCCCUUCGGGGGGUGAGUAGAGCGGCGAACGGGUGAGUAACACGUGGGUAACCUGCCUCCAGGUGGGGGAUAACCACUCGAAAGGGUGGCUAAUACCCCAUAAGACCACAGGUUCUCCGGAACCAGGGGUAAAAGGUGGCGGAAACUUCGUUUCCGCUGUCGCCUGGAGAUGGGCCCGCGGCCCAUUAGCUAGUUGGUAGGGUAACGGCCUACCAAGGCGACGAUGGGUAGCUGGUCUGAGAGGAUGGCCAGCCACACUGGGACUGAAACACGGCCCAGACUCCUACGGGAGGCAGCAGUGAGGAAUAUUGCGCAAUGGGGGAAACCCUGACGCAGCGACGCCGCGUGGGUGAAGAAGGCCUUCGGGUCGUAAAACCCUGUCAGGUGGGACGAAUGCAACCCGGCGAUAACCCGGGUUGUUUGACGGUACCACCAGAGGAAGCACCGGCUAACUCCGUGCCAGCAGCCGCGGUAAUACGGAGGGUGCGAGCGUUGCUCGGAAUCACUGGGCGUAAAGCGUGUGUAGGCGGCCAGGUAAGUCGGAUGUGAAAGCCCUCGGCUCAACCGAGGAAUUGCAUCCGAUACUGCUUGGCUUGAGUACGGGAGAGGGAGGCGGAAUUCCCAGUGUAGAGGUGAAAUUCGUAGAGAUUGGGAGGAACACCAGUGGCGAAAGCGGCCUCCUGGACCGAUACUGACGCUGAGACACGAAAGCGUGGGGAGCAAACAGGAUUAGAUACCCUGGUAGUCCACGCCGUAAACGAUGAGAACUAGGUGUAGCGGGUAUUGACCCCUGCUGUGCCGAAGCU
rnacentral:rRNA from 1 species